CGGAUUUCUUCAGGGUGGACAGGAAGAUGUCGUCGACCUCGGGAGAAGAGGGUCUGCUGGAAACGCGGCUCGUAUCAGAAUCCAUCCUUCUGAUCCAGCUCGGUGCGCUGAGGAGACAACCGCUGCAGCUGAUUCAGACCCAACAGUGACAUCAGAUGGUUUGCAGUUGGAACUUCAUCGGACGAGACUUCAUCGAAGCUAAUUAAGGAACCGAGCUGUUGUUGAUGUGUGUGUGUGUGUGUAUUUAUGUUUGUAUGUAUGUAUACAUGUAUGUGCACGAGUAUGUUCGUGCGUCACCGCCGCUAAAUACAACAAAGAUAAAUAAUUAAAUAAAUCAAUAUGCAUAUGCCAUACC